GGACUCGGUCGUGGAAGCCUUGCUUCGUGAUCCAAACAGGAAAUUUGUUUUUGCUGAGAUGGCAUUUUUCCAACGAUGGUGGGUAGAACAAAGUCCAGAAAUACAAGAACAAGUGAGAAAACUUGUAGAUGGCGGCCGAUUGGAAUUCGUAAACGGUGGUUGGUGUAUGCAUGAUGAAGCAACAACCCAUUACAUAGAUAUGAUUGACCAAACAACACUCGGUCAUCGUUUGAUAAAAGAGCAGUUUAACCACACUCCUCGGGCUGGAUGGCAAAUCGAUCCGUUUGGACAUUCUGCCGUACAAGCUUACCUACUUGGA